rnacentral:rRNA from 1 species
CAAUAGCGUAUAUUAAAGUUGUUGCAGUUAAAAAGCUCGUAGUUGAAGUUACACGCAGUGCCUUGUGCAUUGCCAUUCCCGAAGCCAUUGACUGUCAUUAGUUUGGCGGUCUCUUUGCUCGGGUCGUUUACUGUGAACAAAGUAGAGUGUUCAAAGCGGAUUUACGUCUGAAUAUUAUAGCAUGGAAUAAUGAGAUAUGGUCACCGGGUACUGUGGCGAACCUGGUGACAAUGAUUGAUAGGAACUGUUGUGGGUAUUCGUAUGAACAUGUCAGAGGUGAAAUUCUUGGAUUUUGGUCAGACGAACGACUGCGAAAGCAUUUACCAAGGAUGUUUUCAUUA